UACGGAGGGGGCAAGUGUUGUUCGGAAUUACUGGGCGUAAAGGGCGCGCAGGCGGCUUGGCAAGUCGAGUGUGAAAUACCUCAGCUUAACUGAGGAACGGCGCUCGAAACUACCUCGCUUGAGGGCGGGAGAGGGAAGUGGAACUCUCGGUGUAGGGGUGAAAUCUGUAGAUAUCGAGAGGAACACCGGUGGCGAAGGCGGCUUCCUGGCCCGUACCUGACGCUGAGGCGCGAAAGCGUGGGGAGCAAACAGG
rnacentral:rRNA from 1 species